UGCAGCAAAGCUAAUAUAACAAAUGAUUCCAAGUAGAUGUUUGCUGUGCUAAUUCAAAAAAAGAGUCGAUGUAAAAAAUAUAUCCACAGGGAAAUGCACAUGCAAGAUAUUACCGUGCAGCACGAUUUUAAAUUGACACACCUCGCCAUGCCCACCAAACGUACCGCAAACGCUGUUGAAGAACUGUGCACGGUUCAGUACAACCCGUCAUGCAACGUAGCAAACGUGGAAGUGAACUGAACGCCCCUCAGGACUUUGUCAGUGGUUGAAUCCAGGAACGUUACACAUCAGAAACUAAAGGGUUAUAUUUGAUGGCCUGGGUGGUCGGGAUUCAGCGAAUGCCUCAGAAACUCGCAACUACUACUAACAGAUUUUACAGUUACAUUCCAGUCGCAGUGUUGCCAACUCAUUUUCUGGCAACAGCAGGUACAGGUGUCCCAGCAGAAGGUGAUGUCAUGACAGCAGCAGCUCUCGCCCCAUAUGACCACAGCCGCAAGGCCAAGACAUAAUACAGGUGCAGGUCAGGGGGCAACAGUAGGGCCAGGUGGUUUUCGUGCCAGGUCCUGCAGCUGCAUUCCUCCACCUCCUCCCAUCAACAGCUACAGGGGGUCACCAUAGCCCAGCUAUUACAGUCUGGGAACAGCGCCAACAGGUAAACACACACACACACAGGCCCACCGAUUGGUGUACACACAUAGCUAACCUUCAGCUGCAGGCCGGGUUGCUGGCAGCAGUGGCAGGUGAACAGCAGGUCCAGAUCCAGACAGAGGAAGCUCUUUCCCCCACGCAGCAGCAGUAUUCUCCCCAGGGGAGCAUCAUCCAGACCACCUCCCUGCAGCCAGCCAAGAAGUGUAAGGUGGACAUGCCAUCACAGUGUCCAAUGCCCUGCCUGGUCAGUAGCUGGCCACUGUACUAGCCACCCCCAAGUUCAGGUACAGCAGCAGAGCUACGUGUCUCUGAGGCCAGACGUGUUGACUGUAGAUCGCAGCCACCGGUACAGUGUUACAGGUACCAUCACCAGCCCCACUGGAGAGACCUGGACCAUCCCUGUCUACUCUUCCCCGCCAGGGUCACGUGGUCAUUGUGGCAUUACACACACAUUGCCAUCCCCCAGGAGGCACACAGUGCCAUGCAGGUUGCCGGGGGAACUACAGUGUUAAUGGCACACACUACGCCAACGCAAGUUCCUAUUGGCUCGGGACAUGCGGUUUCCACGCUGAUGGGGUGGUCGGGGGGUCAUGAGGAGGUGCAAUACCAGACGGUGGUGGCCAGCUCUGUUUCCAGCCCAGUUCAUGAACGGGAAUAUUCACAUCCCGGUGGGCGGUGCAGGGGUACGGCAACACCACGCAGUCACUCAUCUGGGACCACCAGCAACAGGUAUUGCACACACAGAGAGGGGUGCAGGUCCAGGACUCACAGCAACUUUAAGAUGUUACAGAUUAGAAUUCUAAAAGCCCCAAACAUCUACAUCUAGACCAAAGUUGUGGGGGUGACGAGUGGGGACUCUCAGCAACUCUAUGGUACUACACCUACAAUAGUCCCAACACCACAGGAGACAGGGAUGGGAGGAGGGAAAGGGGCCCUGCUCCAGGGGUCAAAGGUGUCAGGGAAGAGAUCCAAGGGAGGGAUGGAGGUGGAAGUAGGAAGAGGAGGCGCUAGUGGCUGUGAGCUUUGACCCAGACAUGAAGGAGAAGAGCUGCUGAAUGAUUAUUUCCAGCUGAAGGUGAAGUUGGGGGAUCUGUACACAGUGGGGAGCAACCGACCCACACUUUUAACACAUCGCCAACAUUUUCACAGGUGUAUUCUUCACCCCAGGUGUGAGACUGCUGUUCCGGGACACCACGGAGUGCCGGUUCUCCUUCAUCUGCACCUCCAACAACCAGAUCUCUCAUAUCCAGGGCAGUUGGACCAGACCAUCUACCACAACUUCCCGUCCCUGCAUGCCCUUGCAGACAGCAAUGUGGAGGCGGUGGACGGUGGACCCCAGUGGCUACCUGCAGGCUGGGGAUUCACUGCGCACUCUGCCCAGGGUGGGCCCCAACGUAUGCCUCAACCCUUCAGGGCAAUUAAGGGUGCAUCUUCAAAGUGUGCAGCUGAGGAAUGGCUUUCUAUGAACCAACUGUAUGUAGUGGAUUACUAUGAAUACAUUUUUUGGGAAGGAGCCAUGCCUAUAGCAAGUCUUGGAAUGAAUAGGUGUGAUGGAGGCCACCACUGCGAAUGCAUUAUACACAGGCAUAAUAUUAAGCGUUACCUGUGUUCCACCUCUAGGUGGACAAGAUGGACAAGGCCUGUGUUGUGCCUGUGGACAUGUGUGGCAGAUUACUGAACAAGACCACAGCUGUGUGGCUGUAAACGGGCAGAAGAGCCUCACAGACAGUCUGCUGUGAGAUUGGUGAGGAUUCACCCUACAGUAUGUGCUUAACAACCUCAAACUGUCAUUCUGAACAAAACAUCACUGAUUGAUGUUAUUUCUGUGUUAGGGGAAUUCUUCAGACAGCCAUGGGGUCCUUAUUUACCUUUAUUUAACUAGGCAAGUCAGUUAAGAACAAAUUCUUAUUUUCAAUGACGGCCUAGGAACAGUGGGUUAACUGCCUGUUCAGGGGCAGAACGACAGAUUUGUACCUUGUCAGCUCGGGGGUUUGAACUUGCAACCUUGCAAGUCAGGCAAGUCAGUUAAGAACAAAUUCUUAUUUUCAAUGACGGCCUAGGAACAGUGGGUUAACUGCCUGUUCAGGGGCAGAACGACAGAUUUGUACCUUGUCAGCUCGGGGGUUUGAACUAGUCCAACGCUCUAACCACUAGGCUACCCUGCCGCCCAAUAUGCUCGGUGAGUGGCACAAACUAGGGGUCAGAAUCCAUUCUCUCUUCUGUUACCUCUACUCUUUAUCUCUCUCUAAUCUAUAAAGGCUAACUUGAGACACCAGUUACUUGAACUUACACUAAGUCAUGCAUUGAUGUCAAUGGAGCAUGACUCUGUCACACUCUCAGGUGUUCUGUGCUGACCUGAAGAAGUUCCAGAAGCUGACAGAAACACCCUCUGAAACAGGAGGAGGAGAAGGUCACGAUAAAGGUAGCGGGAAUGGGGAAGGACAAGAAAAUGUGUAAUAAAAAGGUCUGUGAAGAAAGAGGUGAAUGUGGUAUGAGGUCAGCAGAGGUUAUUUGUUGAUGAUUUAUGUUAGCUCAGGAGGCUAAACUGAAUAUCUGUUAUUCUCUGCAUACCUCUCUCGGGAGCAACUAGGAUUGUGAGGCUGACAAUCUGACCCUGUCUCCCUAGGUUUAUGACCUGAUUGCAUGCAAACCAAGGUCACUGUCAGUGUUUUUUUUCCUGAUUACUUUGUAGAAUGAUGUAAGACGGAUAUAUAAAUGUGAUAGAUGUCAUAAAAGAGACAGAGUUCACUCCGAACCAGACUUUUAUUGUCUGUCAUAUAUUUCUGUGUUCAGGCUCUGAACUGAAGGCUACUGAUUCCUUUUACAGUGAUUCAUGUCUGGGAAUUAAGCUCUACAGGUGUGGGUAAUUUUACUCUUCUCUUUUUCUCUUCUUUACAUAGGAACUAAACACUGAGAAAGUAUCUAUCUAUUAUUUUCUAGAUCAAUGGACCACCAAAAAUACUUUGUAUUUGUAACAGUUUAUUUUUUUACAAUGAAAUAAAAAGGUUUUGUACUCGU